GAUGAACGCUGGCGGCGUGCCUAAUACAUGCAAGUCGAGCGAACAGACGAGGAGCUUGCUCCUCUGACGUUAGCGGCGGACGGGUGAGUAACACGUGGAUAACCUACCUAUAAGACUGGGAUAACUUCGGGAAACCGGAGCUAAUACCGGAUAAUAUAUUGAACCUCAUUGUUCAAUAGUGAAAGACGGUUUUGCUGUCACGUAUAGAUGGAUCCGCGCCGCAUUAGCUAGUUGGUAAGGUAACGGCUUACCAAGGCAACGAUGCGUAGCCGACCUGAGAGGGUGAUCGGCCACACUGGAACUGAGACACGGUCCAGACUCCUACGGGAGGCAGCAGUAGGGAAUCUUCCGCAAUGGGCGAAAGCCUGACGGAGCAACGCCGCGUGAGUGAUGAAGGUCUUCGGAUCGUAAAACUCUGUUAUUAGGGAAGAACAAAUGUGUAAGUAACUAUGCACGUCUUGACGGUACCUAAUCAGAAAGCCACGGCUAACUCCGUG
rnacentral:rRNA from 1 species